ensembl:lncRNA
GUGGUAUCCUACCUCUAAAUACCAGUGUAGUAUAAUCGUGGUAUCCUACCUCUAAAUACCAGUGUAGUAUAAUCUUGGUAUCCUACCUCUAAAAUAAAGACUAUAUCAGAAUAUAUCACUUAUUGGAAAGAAAUACAUUCUGAUGAUAAACAAGUUAUAAUAUGUUGCUAAUAGUUGCAGUAAUUAUCUAGUAAUACGUGAUAACCUCUAAAACCAGCCUAUUGUUCAGUCUGGAGAGCCCAUUGACCAAUAGGAAUAUAUCACAUAUUUACCAGGAAUUUAUAUCAGGGAUUUUUGACCAAAUGAGGCACAGUCACCACAACGAAACCUUCUAUUGUCUUAUCAACAAUCAUUACCAGACAGUGGGUGUUGGUUAGGGUUAGGUUAGAUACGGGUUACGAUAGGUUAGGGUUAGGCUACAGUGGAGUUAGGGUUAGGGAUAGGUUAGGGUUAGGAUAGAGUGGGGUUAGGGAUAUGUUAGGGUUAGGAAUAGGUUAGGGUUAGGAUAGAGUGGGGUUAGGGAUAGGUUAGGGUUAGGAUAGAGUGGGGUUAGGGAUAGGUUAGGGUUAGGAUAGAGUGGGGUUAGGGAUAGGUUAGGGUUAGGAUAGAGUGGGGUUAGGGAUAAGUUAGGGUUAGGGAUAGGUUGGGUUAGGGAUAGGUCAGGUUAGAGAUAGGUUGGGUUAGGGAUAGGUCAGGUUGGGGAUAGGUUGGGUUAGGGUUAGGUUAGGGUUAGGCUAGAGUGGGGUUAGGGAUAUGUUAGGGUUAGGCUAGAGUGGGGUUAGGUUAGGGAUAGGUUGGGUUAGGCUACAGUGGGGUUAGGGAUAGGUUGGGUUAGGCUAGAGUGGGGUUAGGGAUAGGUUAGGGUUAGGCUAGAGUGGGGUUAGGGAUCGGUUAGGGUUAGGCUAGAGUGGGGUUAGGGAUUAGGUUAGGGACAGGUUAGGGAUAGGUUAGGGAUAGGGACAGGUUAGGGAUAGUUUGGGGUUAGGGAUAGGUUAGGGAUAGGUUGGGGUUAGGGAUAGGUUGGGGUUAGGGAUAGGUUAGGUUGGGGUUAGGGAUAGGUUGGGGUUAGGGAUGGGUUAGGGAUCGGUUGGGGUUAGGCUAGAACUAGCCUCGGCUGAACUUAGGGUUAGGUUAGGCUGAACUAGACUUAGCAUGCUGGGAGACAGAGGGAUGGAAAGAGCCCUCAUCAAACCUUCAUCAAGACCCGUCAUCAAGACCCGCAUCAAGCCCCC